GGGGGAUUCAGAAUUCCAUGCUGUAUUAUAUGACCACCGGACACGCACAAUACCCCUCGAGGUACAUUGAACACCUGGAGUAUUAUAUAACACAAAUAAUGGAAUGGGGUGAAUUAGGAUUAAGGAAGAGAAAGGUGGAGGAGAAAAAAACAGGACGACAAUCCGUGCGUAAUGAACAGCGCGUGAUACAAUUUCGGGUUUAAAGAGAACAUUACGACCCUUCUUACCCGCAAACAACAAAACGAACCGUGGCAAAUCGAAGACUGGGCAAAAAGCAGCUGCCUCUGCGUGUGCAUGUUUGGAAGCACACCUGUCCUGACAGCAUCUCAGACGGCUUUGAGUGUCUGCAUUGUGCGGCUGGGACUGGGCGCUGUGCGCCAGCCUCGCGUGCGGGUGCACGGUCGCCUUUGUGCACAGAGUGCCUUCUGUCUGCACUUGGCAGCUCUGUGUACAGAAUAUAAGUUCUUCCUUGUACCAGUGGAGCCAAAUCUGAAGGACCUGACAUUAUCAAAUUUGGGGGGCAUUUACAGACCUAGUAACUUGUGAGUCCCCAAAAUGUGAAUGCUUAUUAACUGGAAAUCGGUGUAAAGUAAUUAAAGUCAAUUUCAAUGUCCCAUUAUGCAAUAUGCGGGAUCCUAUUUGUUGCCCUUAUUUAUGUCAUUAAAGGAGCAGUGGUAAGAUUAGCCAAAUGUAGACACAAGCUUAAGCAUUUUUAAGUGUGGGGGAAAACUAUUUCAUCAUUUCAUCAAAAAGCAGAAAAGGCUUAUUUCUAGGGAAGCAACAGCACACACUUCCACAUUAAGGAGAAAAAUGAGUGAUGCCGCCAAAACCACAGCAGUGCGGAGCUUCCAGAUCAAACCCUGCUCCGCCUUAGUUCACCCACUGACCGGAACGCAUCGGCGAACCCCAGGGUUUAGAAAACAAGGCAACGAUCAGGUCACUGCCAUGUUAGCGGUGUAGCCCCUUUUGAUCCGUCGCUGUGUCUGCCUGCCGGAGAUGAGAGGUGGACGGCUUUUGUAUGCGCGCAUUCCAAGUUUAAUUGCACUAAUGUACCCUGGCCCAGGCAACGGAGAGGGGAGAGAACGAUCAGCACUUCCUGUUCCAAGUCGUCCCAUGUCAGAUACCAGAAGGGAAGUCAUUACACUGAUAUGAUGAAAAAUUUCACUAGCCGGGUGCCAAAUGUUACAUUCCCGAGUGUCAGCUUAGGGACCGGCCUAAUGAAAGCAGGGCUCCACAGUGCUCCCAUGUUAGGAGCGUUUGUGCCUGAAAACUGACGUGUGCUAACUGGAAAAACGAUUUAGUAGCACAUCUACUAAUUGGGCUGCAUUACUGCGCUCCUACAUCGUUUAACUUAGGAGACACUGUGCUCCUCGGACAAGAUGUUAGUGAAGAGCCCUGGAAAGGGCAGCCUGGCUUUGCAGCUACAUUUCCCACCCUCAUGAAGAGGGCAAAGGGACGGAGAAAGAUUGGGUUCCACUCCUGAGGUGGUUUAGGUUGAACGUGAGCACCCAUUGCCUUCUAGUCAGUUGAAGUUCACCCCAGUCCUUUGGUCUUUGUUAAAUAUUUUGUCAUGUUCACAGGUGCACAGAAGUACUCCCUGUAUUCAUUAAAUUCUAAAAAGAGUCUGAGUUCAAGAGGGAAAAGUUUAAAAAUCUGAAACUUAAGUCCUUUUUGGUCUUGGUCUUACCUAUUCUUAAAAGAUAUUGUGCUGUCCUGUUGUUUUUCCUUUUUAUUUUUUAACUUUGAUUUUAUUUUUAUUUUCCUCGUACCUAUGUUUUUGUUGUGCUUUUCUGUAAUUGUAUUGUAUUGCAUUUUCUUCUAAGAAAUGCACUAUAAAGUUAAUUACUAUUAUUAUUAUAA